AAUAUUGCGCAAUGGAGGGAUCUCUGGCGCAGCGACGCCGCGUGAGCGAUGAACUUUUUCGGAUCGUAAAGCACUGUCCUUUGGGAAGAAGGCGACCAUCUUUUGCCACUUGACGGUCCUCCAUGAGGAAGCCCCGGCUAACGACGUGCCGGCAGCCGCGGUAAUACGUAGGGGGCAAGCGUUGUCCGGAAUUAUUGGGCGUAAAGGGUGCGUAGGCGGCCUUUUAAGUCAGAUGUGAAAGACCACGGCUUAACCGUGGGGUUGCAUUUGAAACUGGAGGGCUUGAGUAUCGGAGAGGGUAGUGGAAUUCCCAGUGUAGCGGUGGAAUGCGUAGAUAUUGGGAGGAACACCAGUGGCGAAGGCGACUACCUGGACGAAAACUGACGCUGAGGAACGAAAGCUAGGGGAGCAAACA
rnacentral:rRNA from 1 species